CGUGUGCCGUGCAAGUUUUUAUCCCAGCACGAAUCUCCCGAUUUUCCGUGUUUCGGUGGCGGCUGGCGGCUCGGGCUGGGCGGAAGGGAGGAGGGCAGCUGGGCAGGAGGUGGGCGUGAGGAUGUGGCCGACUGUCUCCCCCCAGCCCUGCCCCUGUCCGGCCUGGCCUGGCCUGGCCCUGCUGCCUGGGCCGCAGGAACCUCUGACGUCCACUCCUGCUGCUGCUGCACCCCUUAGAGACAGGGCGCUGGACAGGGGGCAGGGAAGGAGAGGAUGGACGAGCCAGGAGGCCGGGGAAUCUACUCAGAAGCUCCGUGUCUGGAGAGAAGCCUGAAGACGGAGUCACAGGGAGCAAUCGGAGACCCUGCAGAAGAGAUGGGCUGAAAGUCAACAGCAAUCCUGCGGGGGAGACCGGGUGAGUCGAGCCCUGUGCUGCUGUGGGAGCUGUCGGUAACCGCCGGAGGAAUUGGGGCAGGACACCCACAGACCCUCAGCACCCAUCUUCGCUCACCCGUGGCACAGAGGGGGCGAGAGCUCUCCUGCAGCCAGGCUGGCACGGACAAGCUGGGAGAGACGCUGUGGUAGUGGAAGUGGAAUGCCAAGUGCGUGAUUGUUCCCGGGAAAAGAGAAGGAAUCGGACUGUCCGCCCUGCAGGUGUGAGUUAGCUGGUAGCUCACUGGCAGACAGUUCAAGCAGACCGUUAAACCACCUGCGCAGCUCUCUGUACCAAAGGCAGACAUCUAGACACACCUGUUGGGUGUCUUUGCUUGACUCUGAUACAACUGUUGUUUAAAGUGUUUAUUGUUUCGCUUGAAUUCACCCUUAAAUGCUUCAUUGAUCCAAGGGGCCAUUAUCACUGUCAACGUUAGGGAUGGGGUGCCGGAGACACCCCCCAAGCUGACAGCAGUGAGACCCUGACCUCCCCCCGAACAGUAAGAGUUUAUGUGCUGUGGGCACCUCAGGAUCCAGCGCAUAGCCUCUUACAGUGCAGGGAGAAGUGUCACUGGGACACGCCGGGACUGGGGACACUGGCAGGCACUGGGACACACAGGGACUGGGGACAC